AGGAACUCACUGUUACUAGUUCCACGAAUUUCCUCUCAGAGAAGGAUUAGACUGCCUCCCAGGAAAUACUCCCCUAAAACUGAUGGCCCAAAGUUGCCCUUUUUUUGCUGAUGAUGAAACACUUUCCACACCAAAAGCAGAUGCACUUUUCAUUCCCAGAGAAAAUCCUAGGGCUCUGGUUAUACGCCCAGUUGAGGAAUGGCCUCCUCGAAGUAUUAUGGAAAAGGGUAGUAUUGUGAAA